rnacentral:lncRNA from 1 species
AAAGUCAAGUUAAACUCCAGCAGAAACAGAUGAGUUUCCUGAUGGUUGUGCACAGGCUUCGGACCCAAGGCAAGGUCUUCCUGUCUCGAGGCCUUCUGCCAUCAUCCUGCCUCCCCAGACAUACCCCAGUGAUAUCGUUUGGAUGUUUGACACCCCCAAAACCUCAGGCUGACAUUGGAUCGCCAGUGUUGGUGCCGGCCUAGUGGGAGGUGUCUGGUCACUGGUGUGGUGGGAGGCGUCUGGGUCACUGGUGUGAUGGGAGGUGUCUGGGUCACUGGUGUGGUGGGAGGUGUCUGGUCAUUGUGGUAGGAGGUGUCUGGUCACCGGUGUGGUGGGAGGUGUCUGGUCACCGGUGUGGUGGGAGGUGUGUGGUCACUGGUGUGGUGGGAGGUGUGUGGUCACUGGUGUGGUGGGAGGUGUCUGGUCAUUGUUGUGGUGGGAGGUGUCUGGUCACUGGUGUGGCCCCUACAUAAAUGUCUUGGUGCCAUCCUCACUCUAUUUGUCUCAUUUCAUUAGCUCUCGCGAGAUCUGAUUGUUAAAAAGAGCCUGGCAGCUCCUUUCCUCUCUCUCUGUCCCUCUUUAUGGCUUUUUUCCUCUUGGCAUGUGAUGCCUGCUCCGCUUCCCAUUCCGCCAUGACGCCACGAGCAGAAUGAUUUCUCACAGCGGGGUUUCACCAAUGUUGGGAAGGCUGGUCUCGAUCUCCUGACCUCAGGUGAUCCGCCCCCCUCAACCUCCCAAAGUGCUAGGAUUACAGGCAUGAGCCACUGCGCCCGGCCAAUUUCUAAUAUUUCGGAGGCCUCACCAGUCGCAGAUGCUGGCACCAUGCUCCCUGUGAAGGCUGCAGAGAGGUGAGCCAAACACACCUCUUUUCUUUAUAAAUUACUCAGCUUCAGGUAGUCCUUGAUAGCAAAACAAAUGGACUAAGACACUCAUCCUAACUCAGACCCCAGCUUCCCCAUGAAGCUGUCAGCAAGACAGCAGCUAUGCUCCCCUCCUCCCUCCAGAGUCUGAUGGCCUCAGUCCCAGCACGUAGUUCAACCUCCAACUUGACUCUGCCUACCUCAUGCAAAUGAGCCUAUCUCUUUAUUCUUCAGGAUCCAAAAUGGCAACUCCCUGAAGCCAGAGAACCCAUCAGAACUUAAAAGUAGACAAUUUUUUUAGAGCAGUUUUUGGCUCACAGUAAAAUGCACAGAAGGUACAGACACCUGCCAUUCGCUGCCUGUCCCCUCUCCCCUGCACGCAUAGCCACCCCCCACCAGCAAGUGUGGUGCAUUUGUUACCAUUGGUGAACCCACAUGGACACGUCUUCAUUGCCUGGAGUCCGUGGUUUACACGAGGGCUCGCUCUAGGUGUUGUUCAUCCUCUGGGUCUGCACAGAUGUACACUGACUCUUAUCCACCAUGACAGUGCCAUGCAGAGUAGCUUCACUGCCCUGAAGAUCCUCUGUGCAGUGUAACUUCAUCACCGUUAGGAAGAAAACAAUCUCUUUUAACAUCACGUGUGAAUAAGACAGAUGAUGUCCCAGCCCACCAUGGGGCUUCCCAUUCUUGUGAGGUGGGAAGGGCAGGACAGAAAAUAAACAGUCCACAAAGAGAUAAAAAUAAUUAUCAUGUCAUUUUUAUGACAUGAUAGAUCAUUCUAUCAUGAAUGUUUAAGAUCAUUCAAUGAGUGAAAUGCAAGGACAUGAGCGAGUAAGAGAGGGAGGCAGGCCCGACAGGUAGUGGCGUCCCAGGUGGUAGCUCCUCCUCGGAGCCCAGCCAGAGUUGAGACCUGAAGGAUGAGGAGGACUUGGUCCUUGGACAAUAGAAGAAAUAAAGACCCAGGUAGAGAGGCAAAAGCAAAUGUGAAGGCCCAGAAGCUUGAAAAGGCUGAGCCUGUCCUGGGAGUUAUCAGAGGCACAGUCUGAUCAGAGUGGAGUCAAUAAGGAGUGGUGGUGAGACCCACGUUGGGUAAGGACAGAGACGUCCCAUGCUUGACUCCUUGGACAUGUGACCUCAGCUUCCUUAGCUGUAAAACGUGACAGGUGGCCAGGCGCGUUGGCUCAUGCCUG